UGAACAGUUCGCAGCUCUGAGGA
rnacentral:piRNA from 1 species